GUCACAUCUCUCCAACAAGCUGGUCCUGAGGCGCAGAGGCAUCUCUGGGAAAGGACCUGGAACUGGGGCCAGUGAAGGGCAAGGAGGAGACUUCACUCGAAUGUCAGACUCCAUCCCACCUCUGCCUCCCCCACAGCAGCCACCUGGAGAGGGAGAUGAAGGCGACUGGGAAUCCUAGAGGCUCAGUGGCCCCUUCUCCCCAAACCCAGGCUGAGCCUCUUGCCCUCACACGGGAGCAGCUGGGAUGGGCUCCUUGGCCUGCAGGUGCCUCAGCCCCUGCUGCCCUUGGCGGGAUGGGGAUCUUGGAGGGCCACCAGGGCUGUGGCUGGGUCCUCUUCAAGAAACAGGUAGGCUGGCUCCUGAGGGGUCAGGGAGGGGGCCCUGGUUCCAUGCCUGUGCUCUACCCACCUCCUUCUUCACUGGUGUGCUCUGCUCCUCCCUGACACUUUGACACACAGCAGUGCACAAAUCAAGAAAGAAAUAGAAAGCAGAAAGGCA